GUGGAGGGGAGUACUCACAUAUACUAAAAUUGGAACGUUACCGAGAAGAUUAGCAUGGCUCUGUGCAAGGAUGACAUCCACAUUUGUGAGGCAUUCCAUAUUUUU
ensembl:snRNA U6 U6 spliceosomal RNA